rnacentral:rRNA from 1 species
AUACGUAGGUGGCAAGCGUUGUCGGGAUUUACUGGGUGUAAAGGGAGCGUAGGCGGGAUGUCAAGUCAGAUGUGAAAUCUAUGGGCUCAACUCAUAAACUGCAUUUGAAACUGACGUUCUUGAGUAUCGGAGAGGCAAGCGGAUUUCCUAGUGUAGCGGUGAAAUGCGUAGAUAUUAGGAGGAACACCAGUGGCGAAGGCGGCUUGCUGGGCGACAACUGACGCUGAGGCGCGAAAGCGUGGGGAGCAAACAGGAUUAGAUGCCCUGGUAGUCCACGCCGUAAACGAUGAAUACUAGGUGUGGGGGGACUGACCCCCUCCGUGCCGCAGUUAACACAAUAAGUAUUCCACCUGGGGAGUACGGCCGCAAGGUUGAAACUCAAAUGAAUUGGCGGGG